ensembl:piRNA 21ur-11504 ncRNA
UUAAUUACACUGCUGUUGUAA